CUCCUAAAUAGAGAUCAUUACAGAACGCCUAGUCCUACUUAAAAUCCCAUUCAUUUUUCUUUUAUUUGAUCAUCUACUCGAACUGAGGAAAACGUUUGACUAACUCAAAGAAAAUUUCCGCGCCUCCCCUGCCUGUCUGCAGAGGCAGUUUUGAAUUCAGGAGCGGCAAGAUGGCAGCGGCAAACCCUGGCGAUUCUCCGGGUUCGUGGCAACCACGGAUGGGAAAAUGUGGAGGUUGCACGGCUGAUGUUUACUGUUCGUGGCACAGGAAGAGGCAGUUUUAUUUCAGGAAUGAGUGAGCACAAUCAAAGAAUAGAGCGACUGUGGAGAGACCUCUGGGUGGCCGCUACAUGCAUUUACUACGAUGUUCUUCACAACCCUGAGGAAGAAGGCCUUCUUGACAUUUCAAAUGCUGCACACCUCUUU